rnacentral:misc_RNA from 1 species
GAUGAAGAACGUAGCGAAAUGCGAUAAGUAAUGUGAAUUGCAGAAUUCAGUGAAUCAUCGAAUCUUUGAACGCACAUUGCGCCCGCCAGUAUUCUGGCGGGCAUGCCUGUCUGAGCGUCAUUUCAACCCUCAUGCCCCUAGGGCGUGGUGUUGGGGAUCGGCCAAAGCCCGCGAGGGACGGCCGGCCCCUAAAUCUAGUGGCGGACCCGUCGUGGCCUCCUCUGCGAAGUAGUGAUAUUCCGCAUCGGAGAGCGAUGAGCCCCUGCCGUUAAACCCCCAACUUUCCAAGGUUGACCUCAGAUCAGGUAGGAAUACCCGCUGAACUUAAGCAUAUCAAUAACGGAGGA